rfam:Salmo salar isolate Sally breed double haploid chromosome ssa21, whole genome shotgun sequence.
UUCCCUGUGGCUCAGUUGGUAGAGCAUGGUGUUUGCAACGCCAGGGUUGUGGGUUCGAUUCCCACGGGGGGGG